UACGUAGGGGGCAAGCGUUGUCCGGAUUUAUUGGGCGUAAAGAGCGUGUAGGCGGCCAGGUAGGUCAGCUGUGAAAACUCGAGGCUCAACCUCGAGAUGUCGGCUGAAACCAUCUGGCUAGAGUCCGGAAGAGGAGAAUGGAAUUCCCGGUGUAGCGGUGAAAUGCGCAGAUAUCGGGAGGAACACCUAUGGCGAAGGCAGCUCGCUGGGACGUUACUGACGCUGAGACGCGAAAGCGUGGGGAGCAAACAGG
rnacentral:rRNA from 1 species